rnacentral:rRNA from 1 species
UGGAGAGUUUGAUCCUGGCUCAGGACGAACGCUGGCGGCGUGCUUAACACAUGCAAGUCGAACGGAAAGGCCCCUUUUUUGGGGUGCUCGAGUGGCGAACGGGUGAGUAACACGUGGGUGAUCUGCCCUGCACUUUGGGAUAAGCCUGGGAAACUGGGUCUAAUACCGAAUACACCCUUGUGGUCGCAUGGCCGUGGGGGGAAAGCUUUUGCGGUGUGGGAUGGGCCCGCGGCCUAUCAGCUUGUUGGUGGGGUGAUGGCCUACCAAGGCGACGACGGGUAGCCGGCCUGAGAGGGUGACCGGCCACACUGGGACUGAGAUACGGCCCAGACUCCUACGGGAGGCAGCAGUGGGGAAUAUUGCACAAUGGGCGCAAGCCUGAUGCAGCGACGCCGCGUGAGGGAUGACGGCCUUCGGGUUGUAAACCUCUUUCGCUCACGACGAAGGGUUUCUGACGGUAGUGAGAGAAGAAGGACCGGCCAACUACGUGCCAGCAGCCGCGGUA